GCCCGGAUAGCUCAGUUGGUAGAGCGGUAGGUUUUCAACCAAUGGGUCCCGGGUUCAUGUCCCUGUCCGGGCG